UUUGACUGAAACUACUAUUAAGGGUUGUGUGCCUUUUCUUUUAUAUAUGACUGUACAAAUUGUAUGACAUACCGAUAAUUUGAUUGCUUUCCCUUUCUCUCUUUCUCCUACAAUUUCUUUUCCUCUUUCCAUUGUUGUAAGUGUUCCUUCCCUUCCUUUCAGGUUCUCAAGAUCUGAUGUAUAAACUAUACAUAAAACCUACUCAGGAGAAAGAAUACAAAGAAACUGAAGAAAGUCAUUGCAGAAAACACGAUUGCAGAUAUAAAAAUUCAGUUAAAUAAACUUUGUUUAGCUAAGACCAUGCUUGACUAACCUUUUUAAUUGAGAUAUAAUGGUUGCUCCUCUCUGUUUUUGUGUAUGUAUGAAU
rnacentral:lncRNA from 1 species